UCUUCCUCCUUCUCCUUCUCCUUCUUCUUCACCUUCUCCUUCUUCUUUUCUUCUUCUUCUCCUCUUCCUUCUUCUCCUCCUCCUCCUCCUGCUCCUCCUUAUUUCACUUCUUCUUCUCUAUCUCUUCUUCUACGUAGCUUAGACUCCUCCAAGAAAGGUUAAAUUGGCUAAUUAUCCUACGAAAUGACAUAAUUAGCUUAGUUAGCUCCAAAAUGGC
rnacentral:lncRNA from 1 species